GCCAAUCUUGCCCAAGCCUUGACUCAUGCUGAGGAAGACUCUGGGUUCUACAGAGUCAAACCAGGCUUUUCCCAGCACUGGUGGUGCAUUGGGGGCUACCAUCAACAUCUCUCCUAGAGUGUCCAUCCUAGAGCCAUCACUCCUAUUUCCUUGCCCUGCCUGGUUGAGGCAGCCAGGUACUGCAAGUGCAGCACUGAGGUGUGUGAUGCCAAUGAAGGGGAACAGCUCCUGAUCCUCAGCUCUCCAAGCACAAAAAUGGCCAGAGAAAAUUACAGCAACUGCCCCAUCUGCUAGGACACUCCAAAAGAUGUGGCUUCUGCUCUGCCCUGUCACCACCAGUUCAGCCUGGGCUGCAUCCUGCGGUGGACACAAACGAAUCCAUCAUGCCCACUCUGCAGGACACUGACAAAGACUGUUAGGCUUUCUGAGCGGGACUAUCUGCUGUUUGCUGUCAUCUCCCCUGAAGAGUCACCAGAGACCAGCAGCCAUACAGGGGUAGCUUCCAUCCUCCUGGAUGAAAACAGCACCCAUGGCCCUCUGGUGUCCCCUUGUCCACAGGGAACAUUGUCUCCAGCUGAACAUGACACAGAACAUGACACUGAAAUGUGAGCACAUUUGAAAAUGUAGUCCCAGAUAUAACAGUGGUGCUGGAAUGAAGAGGUUACCUUUAAUAAAUUAACCUUUUAUACUCUUA